CAUUAUUUCAUUUCAUUAUAAAUAUCUUAGAGUUCAAAUCCAUAAAUGCAAGUUAUGCGAAAUUAUGUAAAGAAAAUGAAUUAGAAAAUACAAUAAUUUGGUGCCAUCAUAAUAAAUAUUUGGCAACUAUAAAAUAUUCUAGCAUAAGGUAUAUUGUAAAGUUUUUUUUUCCCUAGUGUAAGAACUCAUUCUCCCCUACAUGGUGUUGUGUAUUUUCUUCAUUCUAACAGGUCGGCAAUAAUUGUUAAUGCACCUCCAAACGCGUAAAACACUUUUUGGACAAUCAUUAGUAGAUUUACAUUCAAAAUUUGCUGUAAAAAAAUGUUACUAAAAUGAGAUAAAAGAUUGUGUACAAACUAAAAAGUAAAGAAGGAUAUUUUUAGAAGAUAAAAAAGAAAAAGCUUACCAUCAACGUUUCUUGCAAUUUGAAAUAUGUAAAGAAAUAAAAUCAUGGCAUAUACAAACUUGUAAGUUUUAGUCAUCCUUUUCUCUCUUUACAUGUAACAAAUAAAACAUGAUUUGAUCAUUUUAUAGUGUAUACAACACAUUCUAUGUAAAAAUCGUUUAAUGUUUUUAUCGCUU
rnacentral:lncRNA from 1 species